CGGGGCGUAGCGCAGUCUGGUAGCGCAUCUGCUUUGGGAGCAGAGGGUCGGCGGUUCGAAUCCGUCCGCCCCGACCA
rnacentral:tRNA from 1 species